GAUGAACGCUGGCGGCGUGCCUAAUACAUGCAAGUCGAGCGAAUGGAUUAAGAGCUUGCUCUUAUGAAGUUAGCGGCGGACGGGUGAGUAACACGUGGGUAACCUGCCCAUAAGACUGGGAUAACUCCGGGAAACCGGGGCUAAUACCGGAUAACAUUUUGAACCGCAUGGUUCGAAAUUGAAAGGUGGCUUCGGCUGUCACUUAUGGAUGGACCCGCGUCGCAUUAGCUAGUUGGUGAGGUAACGGCUCACCAAGGCAACGAUGCGUAGCCGACCUGAGAGGGUGAUCGGCCAUACUGGGACUGAGACACGGCCCAGACUCCUACGGGAGGCAGCAGUAGGGAAUCUUCCGCAAUGGACGAAAGUCUGACGGAGCAACGCCGCGUGAGUGAUGAAGGCUUUCGGGUCGUAAAACUCUGUUGUUAGGGAAGAACAAGUGCUAGUUGAAUAAGCUGGCACCUUGACGGUACCUAACCAGAAAGCCACGGCUAACUACGUGCCAGCCGCCGCCGUAA
rnacentral:rRNA from 1 species